UGCAAGUCGAACGAGAUUAAGGGGCUUGCUCCUUAUGAAAGUGGCGCACGGGUGCGUAACGCGUAUGCAACCUACCUCAAUCAGGGGGAUAGCCCGAAGAAAUUCGGAUUAACACCGCAUAAAAACACAGGAUAGCAUUAUCUAAUGUUCAAAUAUUUAUAGGAUUGAGAUGGGCAUGCGUGUCAUUAGCUAGUUGGCGGGGUAACGGCCCACCAAGGCGACGAUGACUAGGGGAUCUGAGAGGAUGACCCCCCACACUGGUACUGAGACACGGACCAGACUCCUACGGGAGGCAGCAGUAAGGAAUAUUGGUCAAUGGAGGCAACUCUGAACCAGCCAUGCCGCGUGCAGGAAGACAGCCCUCUGGGUCGUAAACUGCUUUUAUUCGGGAAUAAACCUAUUUACGUGUAGAUAGCUGAAUGUACCGAAGGAAUAAGG
rnacentral:rRNA from 1 species